rnacentral:rRNA from 1 species
UACGGAGGGUGCAAGCGUUAAUCGGAAUUACUGGGCGUAAAGCGUGCGCAGGCGGUUUGUUAAGUCCGCUGUGAAAUCCCCGAGCUCAACUUGGGAAUUGCAGUGGAUACUGGCAAGCUGGAUAUGGUAGAGGAAGGUGGAAUUCCCGGUGUAGCAGUGAAAUGCGUAGAGAUCGGGAGGAACACCAGUGGCGAAGGCGG